GGAAAGAUGAAAAGAACUUUGAAAAGAGAGUUAAACAGUACGUGAAAUUGUUGAAAGGGAAACGAUUGAAGUCAGUCGUGCUGGCGCGAAAUCAACCCUCUCGUCGAGAGGACACAUGGCGUGGCGAGCCUCAAAACCGUCACGAAGCGUGAACUCUUGGCGAAAAGGAGCACUUUCGUGUCCGCUGGUUAACAUCAAUUUCGAACGUCAUAAAAAGGCUGGAGGGAUCUGGCUCCUUCGGGAAUGUGAUAAACUUUAAGCGGAAUAUGGUGGUCGGGAUUGAGGUUUGCAACGAAUACCUUUAGGGCUGCUCAAACUGGUCUGAUCGCCCCUUUUUAGUUGUCAUAUAUAUGGUGCGUUCCGCUAAUUAUAGGGGUGAUUAGUCAGGUGGUGCAAAUUCGUUAAGGAUGUUAACGUAAUGGCUUUAAACGACCGUCUUGAAACACGGACCA
rnacentral:rRNA from 1 species